rnacentral:sRNA from 1 species
AAUGCUUCACCUAAUGAACUAGGCCAUGACCACUAUAUGGAAUUCUCUCCCAGGGUGAGGCAAAGAAAACAGUCUUAAAGAUGAAGGCAGAUAGAAAUAGCAAAGGCUGAUCUCUGAGCUCUUUUUCUGAUUGAAUGGAUCAGGCCUGUUGAACUAGAAGGGUGAGAAAGAGAAAUGUAAAGAGGAAGAGAUAGGAUGAAAUUGAUUGAUUGUACAGUACAGAGGAUGCAUAGAACAAAUUACAAGUAGGUACUAACUAGACUAAGUAGGGACUACAUCCUGGAUGGAGUAAGAAACCAUUUUAUUAACUAACAUGGAGUGGAACCCAUUAAACUAGGUUGAAAAAGCAAAGAAAUAAAAAAAAAUCUAAUUAAAAUGGAGACUUGAUGUUGCUUGAAAUAGACAGAGAGUUGACUGGAACGUUGCUGGAAGUGACAACUCAAGGGAAGAGGUAAUUAGAGUUGAACGAUGUAGGAAGACUAGUAGUUUAUGCGUUUCAAUCUUUUGUAAUAAGUCUUAGAUAAACAAAAUAUGUAUAGGACUUAGUUUAGAGAAGUUUCAAAGCACCUUGUACAAUGAGUCAAGAAA